UUGGGCUCAAAUUUUUUAAUCUCCUUGCUAACUUGUUCCUUUUAUUAUAUUGUGAUGACUCUAUUUCUAAUAAUCUUUUUUUAAUUUAAAGCUUAUUUUGAUUGUUUUGGUAUUAGCACACAAGAUUUCUUCUAGUUAGAGUUUCUCUGGUGUAUCUUUUCUCAUCCUUCAUUUUCAGUCUUCUUUUAAUUUUUAUUUUUUAAAUUUUUUUAAAAAUUAUUUAUUUAUUUAUUUAUUUUUAAAUUAUUAUUAUUAUUAUUUUUAAUUUUCUGUCUUCUGUACCCUUAUAACUAGUGGUAUUUUGUGCACAUCAUAUACAGAUGGGUGCAUUUGUUAAAACAUUUUUAAUCCAAUAUGAAAAUCCUUGUUAUCUAACUGGUCAUUUAAAUCUCUUUGCAUAUAUUAUGAAGACAACUUGAAGCUGAGACAGUUAAUGCUCAUCAGAUAUUCUACGGGCCUUGUAUUCUUCCCAGUUUCCCUUAUAGUUGGAUUGAGAUACGUGCGGACUUCUCAUCAAGGGACCAGAUGUGCCCAAGGCAGGUCUAUUACCAUCCCAUGUCUUACAGUCUCCGUAUUUGCUUUUGGGGGAAUAAAGUACAGGCACAUUUCCAUCAGUGAAAGGAUAUAACAGAGAAAUUGAUAUGCCAGAGAAAUUGAGACUCUGUGUAUGAAGUCAACAACUUUCUGCCUCCAAUCUAUGAAACUUAGCUACAUUAGUGCAAUGCCUCAUUUGAUCUCAUUGGAUAAGUUGUCCCUUACACUUGAGGGACAUGACCAUGUGUACUCACGGUGUUGAAGUAUCCCGGCUUCUCCAUUAUUUAUUUUCUCUUUAUUCUAUCAUUUUUUAUGUGUAUCUUACUACUAAUUCUACCCCCUCCUCCAUGGUAUAUAAAUAUGCUUAUUUCUCUCUCAGAUUAAACAAUCAUCCCUUGAUCUUUGGCACGAUCAAUUUUCUCCC